rnacentral:lncRNA from 1 species
CCAGCACAGUGUUUAUUUCACGACUGAGACGUGCGCACACACAGACAUGAGGUCCCGAGUGGCUGUGGCAGAACCCAGGGACCUGUCCGCUCGGUGCCUGGGGCCACUCUGCUCACAGCCCAGCUGGCCUUCCCACUGCCUCCCAGCACCUUCUAGCUAAUGGGACAGCGGGGUCAUUCCCCCAGGCAGCGCCCAGCCUCGUGCCUGCAUCUGAAGGGCUCAGGAGCGUUACCCACCCCGUUCUGGAAGGGUGGCGGGGGUGGGCGGGCCGCAUCUGGUCAGCAGCUGCAGCCCGUCUGUGUUCGUGGCGGCACAACCUUCCUAGAGUCUGCAGGGCACCUCCCCUUCCUGUAGGCGCCCUCCCAGGUCCCGCUGCCCCCAUGCUGCCCCAGACCCCUUGCGCUUGCCUGUCCUGAGGUGACCCACCCCCAGCACCGCCUGCCUCUUGCUGGAACCCUGGCCAGUGCAGGUGGGAAGUGUUGCAGGCUGGCGUGCGGAAUAGCUCGAUGCGAAUAUUUCUGUAACAUCCGGAGCAUGCCAGCAGCUCACACGGCAGGGUGGCCUGAGGGUUGGGACCAGCCGCCGUUUGUCUGGGUGGGUGUCCGAGGCAGAGCAUAGCCAGGCUGGGCCCGCCAGGGAGACCUCAGUCGCCUAAGAAGCUGCCCUGACGGGUCCCUUGUUCAAGACUCUGAUGUGGUCAUGCUAUAUCUAAGGCCCUGGCCAGGGCUUGGCCACUGGCCGCUGGUCUUGGGAGCAUUGAGCUUGGUCUGGGGUACGGAGGGCAUCUGGGCGCCCCACCCGAGAGUGCUGGCAGUGUGGACACAGGCUGGUGGGGAGGCGCUCUGCAGCUUAGCGCCUGGCGCUUUGGAGGAAAAUGUUUGGUCCAGGUCGCGAGGACAGCUCGAGACCCACCUUAACUGGAGCCAUGUGCCACCUGCGGGGGCAGAGGUGGCAGGGCUUGCAGGGGAUGCCGGUCCAGAGGCCCUGCAGCCUGGCUAGCUGGUGAGGGCAGAUUCCAGGAGGCAGCCCAGCUGAGGGUGAUGCUCCGGUGAGCACAGGGGAGCCAGGCCCCGGAGCAGAGCUGUCCUGCUGACCGAGGCUCUCAGGCCGGAGGGAGCCAGCAGAGGCCCCCAGUGGACCAGGCUGGCCUUGAGGGGAAGGCACCCGAGAGGCAAAGAGCUGGCCUGACUGGCACGCAGGUUGGCGCUGGAUGCCAGAGGCAGACCCUGGUCAGAGGCUGCUCGGGGCUGUGUCCUGACGGCCCUCGGGGCUUGGGGGACACUCAGCUGCUCUUGUGCUGUCCUCUGGUGGACAGGCGCCCUCCCCUCGGGCAGUCCUUGCUGGUCGCUGGGCCCCGGUGUGGCUGGCCUGCCUUCGGGACCUUCCUUGGGGCCAGGCCUGCUGUGGGCCUGACUGGAACCCCAGGUCCUCCGUGGCACCUUGCCCUCAGCGGAGGGGCCGCCCACCACAGCCGCUCUCCAGGGAGGAAGCAGCUGCUGCCCGAGGACAGGCAGGCGCUCCGCUGGGAACGUGGACCUGGAGCUCAGAGGAAACGGAAAACUUGAAGUUUAAACAGUGUUUUGUUUUGUUUUUCCAAAAUAGGUCCAGGAAGAGUGAAGUGACUUGUUUCAAGUCAGGGCAAAGUGGCUCUAAGGGAGCCCCUGGCAGUGGGUCUUGCUGAGUGUCUGCCCGGAGGGGGUCACUGCCUCUGGGCUGAAGGCGGGCGGCAGUGUUCCAGGCAGUUCCUAUGGGCGAGGGUGUCCUGGGAGCCAUUGGAAAACCACGGGGCCAUGCUCGGGCUCUCAAAUCCACACGCUGGCCUCUGCACAGGCGGCUAGCACGCUCCGUCUCCCCCCAUCCUCAAGUCCUUUGUGCAGGGGGGCCGCUUCUGCGGGAGAGGCCACCAUAUCCUCAGGGCUGUGGCAGAAACAAGCCCAGCUUGAAGGCCCACCUCUCUGCCUGGUGGUCAGCACUGUCCACACCUCUCAAGUGUCCAGGGUGGGGUUAGGGGAGCUGAGUGGCCCGAGCAGCCUGGUCCUGGCACCUCUCCUUGACCAGCUCUGGACGGAGGUGGGCAGCUGGCAGGGCUGGUACAGGGACUGCAGAACACCUGCCUUUCGGCUGGGGGUGACCCUGACCUCCGGGGCCUCGGGCCUCGGUCGGAACCCGGGCCAAGUGGCCGCUCCAAGGACCGCAGCUGAUCAGGAAGGAGGGGCUUGUGGUGGAGACUCCGCAGCGAGUGAGGAGCCGCGGUGCCGGGGCUUUGCGUGGGGCCUCCGCCCU